CCGGAGUCCCUGCCCAGCACCCGGCCCUGGGCCCCAGGCUGUGGAAUGUAGGAGAAGCAUCCAACAGCCCGCACUCCCAAUUUCCUGCCGGCUGGGGCAGUGCCGCUUGGGUGAGAGGGGCGGCGGAGGCACCCGCUGCCUCCGCACCCUCGCCCUGCGGUCCCCCCCGCCGCUCACUCAGGCUUUGCUCCCCUCGGGGCUCGCGGGGCCUCUGCCUUUCGUCCGGCCCUCUGUUUUCUGUUUCGCCCUGGCAGGUUCCAUCUGGCACUUAGAUCUUAUAAAUAGCCGCAGCUAGGGUGUGACUCGGGUGGAGACGUGGAGCUGGUACUCCACCCUGAAGGGGAAAAAAGCUCAUUUAAUUCAUUUCUGCACUUGGAAGCCUCUCCCUUUUCGAACGCCAAUUAGGCGGCAGCUGCUGGGGACUUUUUUCCUCCCCUUAUCCCAAGAUGGCCGUCUGAUUUUCGGCGCCUGUUGACUUAAGCUCUUGCAGGAGGUUGGGUGGGGCGGGCGUGGUAGGACCGCGGCCGCUCUGAAGUGGGCUGGCCGAGUUUUGCUGACUUUCCGCGAGAGCCUGUGGGUGGGAGCGGGUGAGGUUCCACAGAGGACCCAGCCCUCGUCUGUUUCUUCCAGGACGCUGGGGUUUGGGAUUUCAGAGUCUGGUUUUUCUUUGUUUCCGGAGAGUCCAUUCCAGCAUCUAUUAAACAAGAAUAAGAAGGAAAGAUUCGAAGCAAUAUCCCAAUACCCUUUAGAUUCUAUCAACUGUGAGACACUAUGGAUUUUCAAAGACGGCUGACUGCCUUUCAUGCCUCUGAACUCCGCCCUUCCUUGGCAUGAUGGAGAAGGAAAAUGAACUCAAGACCCACCUAGUACAGCAUCUUAAAUCUAAUUAGGUACCCAAACAAGCGAAUUAUUUGAACUCAACGCAUCCCAAGUUGCAAAAGUGGGCCAAGUCUCUUGGCUCCUAGGACUACAGCUCUGCCUCCUUCAGGAGCUAGAGAGCUGAUGCUCAGGAGAACUGCAGGUAUGUGCCAGGCCCCGGGAAGAAGCACACCCUCCUGUGUAAUGUGAAGGCCACGGUCCAGACUUCAUUCUCCCCGGGUCUCAGGGGCCAGCUUGGAAGCCACAUGUUCUGGAUGGUAGGGCUAUUAGAGCGUAUGGACUCUGCUUGUUUCGGGCCUCAGAGGACUGUGUAGAGCAGAGCCUUGCCUGUUACUCCUCCUACCCACCCCCGAACCAGCUGACCGGCCUUGGACGUGACUCGAGUGAAAAAUAAAUCUUAGUUAUAUUUAGCUACCAAGGCUUCAGGGUCAUUUUGUUACCAUGGCAUAACUUAGGCCAUCCUGACUCAUGCAAGGGGUUCCUCCGCCUGGAAGAGUCUUACUGAUCCUUCUAGCCCGAUGCUGUUCUCUUUUGUGAAACUGAUCUGACCCAUUGCCACUGCACCUUGUCUAUAAUGCCAGCGUGGUCCUUAUCACCUGUUAUCACAAUCAUUCAAUACCCAGUGAAUCAUGAAAUAGUAGAUGGUGUGUGCCUCGAGGGCAGGGUCUGUGUGCUGGUCAGCUGUCAGCUUUUUAUCUCCAGCACCCCACAGGGUGUUGGGCAUAAAGGGGGUACCCAAUCCAAUAAAUAAUGAAUGAAUGAAUGAAUGAAUGACCUGACUACAUGUAAUCUGUCAGGAGAGAGUGAUGGGGAAGGCCUCAAGGAACAUGAAAACACCGUGUGGGACUCCGUGGCCUGGAGACACGAGGAGUCAGUGACUGCAAUUUUGAGCUCAUGCCAUGUUCAGAGCAACAUGGCCUCCAUGAUAUAUAUCCCUGAGGCUUCAGUGAGUGAAAGGAUUAUAGACGAUAAAACUAUCGUGUGCAAUCAGGAAGUUUAAAAGGGAGUCCAAAAACUACUUUUAACUCAUGAGCGAGCACACUAGAGUGGAAUAAAAAUGCGCUUUCUUAUUGGCAGAAAGUGACGAUUUAGGGGGUGCCCCAGGUGGCUCAGUUGGUGGAGCAGCCGACUUCGGCUCAGGUCAUGAUCUCGCAGUUUGUGAGUUCGAGCCCUGCAUGGGGAGGAUCGCGGCUGUUGGUGGAGAGCCCGCUUCAGAGCCUCUGUCUCCCUCUGUCUCUCAAAAAUAAAUAAACAUUUUUUUUUUUUUAAAAAGACAGUGACGAUUUAGGAAAUAGCAUUGCAUGUUUUUGACACAGCCGGAAUGACUGUCAAAUUAAAAUCGUGUAUAACUGGCUCACUGCAAGAGCAUGAAACAGGGCUUGUGAACCAAAUGGAACUCUUCCCCUCUGUCUCUCUCUCUCCAUCUGUCUAUCAUCUCUCGCCCCUGGGAGCAGUAGGGGCAGAUCCAAGUUUUGUGGGGGCCCCCAUUGUCUCCUUCAAUUUUAUUCGAUGGCGGCGGCAGCCCCCUCCCUCCAAUGAUGACUUGGGCCAGUGAACUUGCUGUCGUGCUCAGAUAAUACAACACGCCUUUGAGUUGCAAAGAAGUAGCCUGCCUUCGGACCUUAACAUUCUAAGUCCCAGGUAAUAGUUAAAACUCUGAAACUGAUUUAGCCUGAAAUCUUUUCUUCUCCCUUGGCUCAGACCCGCCUCAUCCUGGAAGCCUGCCCUGGGAAAGGGGGCAUGGCCCUUCUCCUCGCCUCCCCCUCUGCUCACCUCCUCCCCCUUGCUAGCUGCUGCUUCCCUCCGUGCUUGGAAUGAAGCCCAGAAAGGGGAGAGGUAAGGGAAUAAGAUCGUUCUCACGUGGCUGGGUGGCCUAAGCCCUUUGGGCCGGCAGCUGGCCUCCAUGGGGUGGCCUGGCAGAUGAUUAAAGCUGGCCCUGUCACGGGCUCUGCAGAGGCCUCCAGCUGGGCCCCCCGUCUCCUGUGGUUCCCUUGACCCAGGCUGAAGGUCUCUAUCCCUCUGGGUGGUCUCAUAUGACUCCUUCCCCAGCUCCUGGGAUUCCGGAGGUAUAACGGCCAGCCCCUUUCUGCUGAGGUCUUCUGUUCAUGCCUACAGGCCCCAAGACCACCCCACAGUGCCCCACACCUGCGCCUGUUCCCACGGGGACCACAUCUGGUCUUGGGACACUCCCCUUGCUCUGCCACCAAAGUAGUAUCCGCCACUGACGUUUAAAUGUCUCUCACGCCGUUCCGUGUGCUUUAACAUGUGUUAUCUCAGUGAACGCUCAUAACCACCUACGACGUGGGUGGAUCUGGCAGGCCACGUCCGUGAGUGUUUAUUUAACAACUUCUGCCUUAAGUUCUGCUGUCACAAAACACUGCAGGCACCUUUCAUCUGUCACUGAUUUUGAUUACAGACCUAGGAAUGCAGAGAUUGAGGCUUUCCCUUAGCUUGACCGUAAACUCACCGCGAGUCUCAGGGCCGGUCGGUAAUAUCUCUGGAAUGGACUCACCAACACCAAGGUUCCUUCUCACCCUAAAAUUCUGUGACUUAAGAACUCAUUCUAGGAUAAGGAAUUGCAUGUAGGUGUUCAGGGUAGGAGGUAAGAAAAGGCUAGUUGGGACCUAGGGCAUGGAGAAGCCUGGACAGUGUGGAUACAAGUAGCCCUGAAAAGUCUCGAGCGUAUUUAAGUUCUGACAAAAUGAUCAUUAAAAUGUCUCAAGACCUAGGUGUCUAUCGUUUCUUUUACAAUCCUAACGAGAGAUCUCAGUAAAAAGAGAGGUUUUCACUCUUGGUUUCGGCUCAGGUCCUGAUUCAUGGUUUGUGAGAUCGAGCCCCACGUCGGGCUCUGUGCACUGACAGGAGCCUGCUUGGGAUUCUGUCUCCCUCCCUCUCUGCCUUCCUCCCCUUGUGCCCCCUUUCUCUCUCUCAAAUAAAUAAAUAAACUUAGAGAAAAACAAUUUUAAGAAAAGACUAUAAAAUUCAGCAUGAAAAUGAAUAUUGAUUUGGAAUGAAAAGAAAAAGUCCCUGGAAGUCUCCUCAUUAGCUUUAUAGUGAAUCUGCUUCAAAGCGAAGGCGGCUUGGUCUGUCUUGUUCAAAGCUGUGUCCUCUGGACUUAGAACAGUGUCCGGCACAUAGUAGGUGCUCAAGAAAUACUUGUAGAAUCGAAGGGUGAUUGACACUAGAGAACCGGUUAAAGGAGAGAGCAAGAAGAGGUAGGAAGCGUUUCCGUAACUCGCCCCUAAACGCCAUCAGUAAUCACGAGAACUGGAUUUGAACGUGGGUGUCUCUCCCCUCCUCUCUGGGUUGGUGACUGCACAGCUAGACUCUGUCCCCAGCCUCCCUUGCAGUCGGGGUGAUGUGACCAUAUGACAAAAUUCUUGCAAGUUAAAGGUGAGCAGACAUCAAGGUGCUACGUUGUGGCUUGAGCCUUAAGAUGAUGGGUACGCCUCCUCCCCACACCCCCUUUCUACCUGCUGGCUAAAAUCUGGAUAUGGGGCUGAUUCGGUUUGACAAGAACACGGAGGGGUUGGCAGAGUCACCGCUUGGAAAAAACCAUGGUUCCCGAAUGAUCACAAAGAAACAGAGCUCCUCCAGUGACCUGCACAGUUCACAUCAGGAUUGUGCCUUGACGGACAAAUAACCCUCUUUGUUCUGUAAGCCACGGUGUUUCGAGACCUCUCCGUUUUAGCGUCACACUCAUACCAUUUUUCGAACGCAGGCCCUUGGCAUCACACUGUACUUUCUCCGAGCAACACUGCCAGAAACGGGGAGAGGGGUUCAUUUGCAGUCUGCCUGACAGACACCUUGUGUUUUUCUCGUGGCUGUGCCUCACGCUUCCUUCCCUGGGAAUGAAUAUAACCGUGGCCAGCUAUGUGUCCGGUACUGUCCUGAGAACCUUCCACGAAAAGACUUACAGUGCAGACAGUACUAUGAUGUCCAUUUUACAGCUGAGGAAACUGAGGUGCAGAGAGGUUAAGCAACACAGCUAGGGAGAGAGCUGGGAUUUGGACCCGUGCGGGUCGCUUCCACUGCUUACGCGGCCAGUCGCCUUGGCAUGUUCUUCUGACCCCCUUGCUUCGUUUCUUUUGCUGUCCUCCCGUCCUUCAGAUCCAUUCAAUUCUCCCAUCGUGAGUAGGCCAACAGAAACACCAGCUGGCCAUAAAUAAAAAGAAGUUUCUGCCUCUUUCUCUCUGUCAACGGUUCCACUUUUUACAUCUCUUUGGUGUCUUCAUACAGUGUUGGGAACUCUUGGGUCUGGGGAGUGCCAUCAGCCAGCAUUACAGCAGGCACACCAGGCACAGCGAAGAGAGCCCCGAAUCAGAAGCUGGAGUUUCCAUCUCUUGGCCUGGCUCUGCCGUGGCUUUGUGCGCAGCCUUGACCGUGGCACUCCUCUCCGUAAAGUGACAGGCAUGGACGGUCUCUGAGGUUCCUCAUUGCUCUGAAAUCCAUAACCUGUGAGCCUUUCCUUCCUUGGUCCACCGUCUGUCCUCUGGCAGUGCCGGCCCAUUUGCAGAAGACCAGGGAGCAGGGAGCAGCGCUGUGUUUGAGAUCUUGAAGGACACCUUGUGGUGCCGCUGGAGUCGGAGACGCGAAAGGAAAAGAUGAGGGUAAGUCGGACUCUGUCAGUUUCCUGGCAGUCCAGCCAUCUCCAGGCUCAAAGGUCUCCCGCGUACACAGGUGCAAAUGAAAUAAUAUUCGAGAGUAAGAAUGGGGACAAGGAAGCUUCCAGGCUUGGAGAGGGAACGUGAACCCACUGACCAGUGAAAUGAUCCCCAGAUCAUUCCAGAAUCCCAGUUUGCCUGCAAGCAGGGACAGCAUGCCCUCCAAGAGACUAACAGAUAAAUGUAGCUCCAGUGCCUAUGAACUUCUGUCAGCCAUGGCAAAACACGGAUCUGCUAACAGAGUCCGGGAAAGAAGAAUCCGAAGAUGCGUGAAUGAGUAAACAAAAUAAGGGGCAAGGCAGUUUCCCUCCUGUGAACAUCUUGAGCAAUCAGACAGCUCUCCACGAUGGCGUAGAUGAAUCUCCCCGUCACUACUCCAUGCUGAAUUGGUCAUGGCUUGAACAUGUGUGGGUUAUGGGAAAACUUUGAGUCCGGCUCUCUGCUGAAAUCAAACUUUUCCUCCUCCCUGAUUUUUACCGUAGUCACUCUUCUGGAAAUUACUUGCACGUGGUUGAUAGAGUAUCAGUUUGGGGCUAAGAAAAUGGCAGCCAGGACCCAUUUGGUCAUAUGAUGAGCAGUAACAGGAAAAAACAGGGAAGAGAUAAAACCUGAAACUGGGUGGGCCUCUGCCAAGGGGAGGAUGUCUAAGUGCCCUUUUGCUUUCUCAACAAAAUUACGAAAUUACGCGCUUUGACUCGCGUGGCUAAGCAGAUGUUCUCUUUGCUGCGAAUCUAUUAGCUCCUUGCUUACUCUGCCGAGUGGGUGGCGCACAAAAAGAUGAGCUGCAAAGAAGGAGCCGGCAGUGACAGGAAAGGACACGGGGCGUGAGAGAUUAGGAGCUGGGGGACGGCCACCCUGAAUUGAGACGAAAGGGGCUUCUGAAGGAGCAAGCCUGCAGCAUGUUUAGUUAACGUCUUUCCAACAAAGGAGAAAUUUUGUGCAGCCACAGAUCAUUUGCAAUUCAAAGAGCAAGAGGCAAACCGAGUCGAGAACAUACUUUGUGUGGAAAGGCAUUCAUAGUAUCCAUGCCCCAAAUGCCUCCCACCCAAGGGAAGUCGUCCGGUGCAUUUGAGAGCUUUUCGCUGACUUGGGGCCCUCAGUGCCGCCAUUUUCCCUCUUCCUCCCUCUCUCCCUUUCCUCUUCCCCCUUCCACACUGGUUGCCUGUCUGUCACUUCAAUUCAGUCCAGCCAUCUGGAACCUUCCCUACUAGAUAAUAUCUCCACCUCAAAUUAAAAAAUGGCCCUUUCCCACUUGAUCAGAGCCCUGGUAUCUGGAUGGUUGAGGAAGAUUGCUGAAUGGCGGUGUGAGGUGGAGAUUUCCUGGGGAUUUCAAUCACCUUGCUCCCCCUCUACCCUUCAUGAUAAAGGCUAAUCAGGAGGGGAAUGAAAACAACACGCAAUCUUAGGAGAAAUGAGGAAUGGGCCAGAUGCAACCCACAGAGGCUGGCUGAGAUUUCAAUUUUCUUACUGUAAUGAAAACUGCAUUUCCAUGAACCGUUGCGGUAGAAAUUACUUACCGGCGGUCACCUGUGAUAGCAUCACCCCGCGGCUCACGUGGUGGGCACGGAUGCCGCCAGGGACGGUUGCUGAAGCGCCUUCUCGUGAUGACCUUCCACGCGGUCCUCAGGCUGCCGCAGAUGGGCGGAGGCGGCGCUUUCGUGUGGGAAACGAGGCCCGAUCCGUAAUACGAUGGUGAUUUAAAACAGUAGUUCCUUCUCCUACCCUUUUCCUGUGACCUUUCCUUCACGGUUCGAAUCUGUGAUUUUCUGCUGGGGUCCUGCAGGAUGCCAGAUGGAGGUCAACCGUAAUAAGUGAUGGCAUUACGUUCAGGCACCUGCUACGUGCCAGGCGUUGGAACGUGGAUGUGAUGGCUGGAUGUGAACAGCCUUCUUAGACCAUGAGGUGGAAACCACUUGUUGAGCAUGGUAAAGCAACGAGAAGGAGCUCGAGUCGCUGAUGAUUGUGGAGGAGAAUUUUGAGGGUUUUGGUCACCUGAUCUGAUCCUGUCCUACCAAAAGCACCCAGAUGGUCAUCGCUGUGCUCUUCACAUGUUGUGAGAAUUCUGGGUCAUUUUCUCAAGUUUGGAAUUGUGGAUGUGGCCGUGGCUGUUUCCAGACAGAAAACAGUGGAAUCCUGGAAAGAGUCAAACAAUCAACUGUGAUUUUGUACUUCGAUCCAGAUGAAUUAAGCAAGCAGAUCCUUUGGGUUUUACACAUCUAUGAAAUAUCAGGCCCUCAUGUUCUCCUUUUGGGGUGUUCUUCCUUGAAAAGAAUGCACUUUCACUAUUUAAAUCAUAUCAGUAAAUAGUCAUAUUGUGUCUUAUGAUUUUUUGGUCCUUCUGUCUUAAAAAGAAUGAUUUCAAGAAUGAAGUUUCACAUGCCGAUUUGAAUAGUUUAAUUUUUGUUGGAAUAAUUAGUUCCCUUCCUUCUCAUCUUUUUCUGAACCCACUGGAAAAAAAAAAAAAGACAAAGGAGAGAGGCAGAGAGACACCAAAAUAACAUCUUUCCUAUUGAUAAAGCUGACAUUGGAGAAAGUGGAAUAUAUCUGUGGCCAAAUGGACUUCCUAAUUGUGAGUCCACAUGCUGGCUGCACCAGCUGAUCUGGUCAGAGGCAGAAGCAGACCACUGCUGGCCUCCACACACGGGAAGCGUGGAGAGCUUUACUGCUGUGCUUGCCAUGGGUUUGACAGCCAUCUAGAGCAUGUUUUCUCUGCUAUUUCCUAAAAGGAAGAAGAGACAGGAAGGGGCUGGGCUGUGCAUGCUUGGUUUCUUCUCACAGAUUCCUCAAUUAGGUCCUGGUUACUGUGCCCAAUAAGUGAAAGCUUUCCUGGGUCAUCCGCUGAAAUGCUGGGAAGUCCAAAGAGUGGGAAGCUGUUGGGUGAGAGAGGAAGUGUCAGAACAUCAGAUCAGCCUGACUUGGUUGCGAGAGACGGCAGAGGAGCAAAUCUGCCUUCCCGGAGGAAAAACAUCACCAGCCAUCGGUGGAGGGAAUUUGGCUUUUGGUUCCUAACCGGAGAAGACAGCUACCUGUCAAAUGGCGUGGAGUCGACUGGGGAGCCAGUGUGGCUAUGUUCCCACUUAGCGAUGUUUGGUUUUCUCUCCAGAAAUGGACUUUAUUUCCUCUAAAUUCGUAUUGUAGCUCAUCUCAGAUUAAUAAAGUUUUCUCUAUUAAAGGA